ensembl:lncRNA
CUGAGAUAUUCUACUUUGGAUGAAGCUGGACAAAAUGACCCCUAGCUUGAGGUUUGUAGGUUUAGGAAAAUAUAGUUGUUGGUUUUGUUUUGUUUUGUUUUGUUUGAAGACGCUGAAAUGAACCCAGCAGGCCAGCUGGCAGGAAGUCAGACUGCUGUCCUUGCCUCAGAGGAUGACACAGGCCAAAGGAGAGAAGCAAAACAAGGCAGCCUGAGCAAUGUGAAUCCCUGAAGAGUUUGCAUACAAGAAAAAGGCCUGCUGGGAGCUCUGCAUUAAAAAGAGGAAAAGUCAGGGACUUCCCUGUUGAUCCAGUGGUUAAGAAUCCCAGUGCCAACACAGGGGACACAGGUUCAGGUAAGCCUGUGCGUCACAAAUGUUGAGCCCAUGUUCUAGAGAAAGCCCGUAUGCAGCAAUGAAGACCCAGUGCAGCCAUAAAUAAAUAAAGAGUGCUUUAAAAAGUAGUAUAUAAAUACUCAAUUUGUGUGUGUGUGUGUGGUGAGUCAUGUCCGACUCUUUGUGACCCCAUGAACUGUAGCUCGCCAGGCUCCUCUGUCCUUUUCCAGGCAAGAAUACUGGAGUGGGUUGCCAUUUCAUACCCCAGGGGAUCUUCCCAACCCAAGGAUCAAACCCAAGUCUCUUGCAUCUCCUGCAUGGGCAGGUGGAUUCUUUACCACUGCGGGACCUGGGAAAAUAGUAGAAUAUUUUUUUUAAAAAAUAGGAAAAGCCAGGAGCAUGGAAACCAGAUAAAAGUCUUUUUAACAGUCCAAGAGAGACUCAGCCAGGGUGGAGGCAGGAAUGAAAAUCAAGAGACAUCUGUGGGACACAGCGUGGCUGUAGAAUCUGUAGAAACUGACCACUGAUUGGCCGUGGAAGGUCAGGGGCAUGGGUAAAGUCAAACAAACCAUACUUUUUAUCUUGGAAAGAGUGUUUUUGUUCACAUAAGCAUUGCAGUCACAAGGAUAAGGUGGUCAAGAGGGGUAAGGCAGGAGCAGGUGGGAGUGAUGGAAAGUUAGAGAAGUGUUUUCUUGGAUUAUAUUGAGAUACUGUGGGACAUCCAGGUACAAAUAACUGGCCAGUUGUUGCUCAAAUCAGUUCUGUAGCUCAAGAGAGAGUUUUCGACUGGGGGUAGGAUUUAAGAGACUUUUGUGCUAUAAGAGACUUUUGAGACAUUGGAGUUAUG